GGUGGCGUUGAUUCAUUUAUUGUUAAUUGCUGAAGGGAACUUGUCUGCCUUUUGGCAAGCUUUUGUAGAAGAUCAUUAAAUCAAAAGCCCCGAGAGCUGUACAGUGCCGAUCCGUUGAAAAAGACCAUCUACAAUAAAGAUCUUCAGACAGUGAUGUCGCCUAACAAAAGCCUGAUUCUUGCAAUCAUAGGAUUGUUUUCUUUUCUUCAACUCUAUCCAGUGGAAGCUACAGACUGUAAUGAUAUCUGUUCAAGAGGAAUACUUUCGAACCAAUGUAACUGUAAUAUUAAGAUGCCAUUCCGAUGGGGAAAACGUUCUACGCUUAGACUUCCAUUCAGAUUUGGAAAAAGAAGUUUGGUUACCGAUUCUUAUUCAAAUGAAAGGAUGGCGAGGCUCCUUUAUAAUUUAGCCAAUGUUUUGGCGACAGAAGACUACAGAGACUACUGAAUCAGGAGAAGAAACGUAAAAAUGGUGUGUGCAAAUCAAAGUGCCUGGUGUGAAAGAAACAACAUUCAUUUACCUCCAAUAUUCUACACCAUUCCAUCAUACAUCAGUAUUCAUGGUGACAUUCUAUAUAGACUUCUCAUGGCAUUAGAAAACACAUACAAAAGUCGGAUUAUUUUUCAUCCACAAUUCUCCCUUUUAUUCAACAGCAAACGAUUUCUGUGGGAUGAAAAUUAAAACAUAAAUCUGCGCCUUGAAUUAAUUAUUUUUUUCAGAAGAAUUUUUACUGUAUGCGACAAAAGUUCAUUAAAAAUUCAUGAAAAAGUG